GAUGAACGCUGGCGGCGUGCCUAAUACAUGCAAGUCGAGCGAACAGACGAGGAGCUUGCUCCUCUGACGUUAGCGGCGGACGGGUGAGUAACACGUGGAUAACCUACCUAUAAGACUGGGAUAACUUCGGGAAACCGGAGCUAAUACCGGAUAAUAUAUUGAACCGCAUGGUUCAAUAGUGAAAGACGGUUUUGCUGUCACUUAUAGAUGGAUCCGCGCCGCAUUAGCUAGUUGGUAAGGUAACGGCUUACCAAGGCAACGAUGCGUAGCCGACCUGAGAGGUUGAUCGGCCAACCGGGAACUGAGAAACGGCCCAGACCCCAACGGAAGGCAGCAGUAGGGAAUCUGCGGAAAUGGGCGAAGGCUUGACGGAGCAACGCCGCGUGAGUGAUGAAGGUCUUCGGUUCGUAAAACUCUGUUAUUAGGAAAGAACAAAUGUGUAAGUAACUAUGCACGUCUGGACGGUACCUAAGCAGAAAGCCACGGCUAACUACGG
rnacentral:rRNA from 1 species